AUAAGGACUCUCGGCAACGGAUAUCUCGGCUCUCGCAUCGAUGAAGAACGUAGCGAAAUGCGAUACUUGGUGUGAAUUGCAGAAUCCCGUGAACCAUCGAGUCUUUGAACGCAAGUUGCGCCCGAAGCCAGCAGGCUGAGGGCACGUCUGCCUGGGUGUCACGC
rnacentral:rRNA from 1 species